GAUGAACGCUGGCGGCGUGCCUAAUACAUGCAAGUCGAACGAAACUUCUUUAUCACCGAGUGCUUGCACUCACCGAUACAGAGUUGAGUGGCGAACGGGUGAGUAACACGUGGGCAACCUGCCCAAAAGAGGGGGAUAACACUUGGAAACAGGUGCUAAUACCGCAUAACCAUAGUUACCGCAUGGUAACUAUGUAAAAGGUGGCUAUACUACCGCUUUUGAUGGGCCCGCGGCGCAGUAGCUAGGUGGUAGGGUAAAGGCUUACCAAGGCAAUGAUGCGUAGCCGAAUUGAGAGGUUGAUCGGCCACAGUGGGACUGGGACACGGCCCAAACUCCUACGGGAGGCAGCAGUAGGGAAUCUUCCACAAUGGGCGAAAGCCUGAUGGAGCAACGCCGCGUGGGUGAAGAAGGUCUUCGGAUCGUAAAACCCUGUUGUUAGAGAAGAAAGUGCGUGAGAGUAACUGUUCACGUUUCGACGGUAUCUAACCGGAAAGCCACGGCUAACUACGUG
rnacentral:rRNA from 1 species